GUGACAAAGGAAAAAAAAAAAGUUGUGAUCAUGUGAGUCAUUACACAAAGCCACACUCUGUGAAUUCACUACUACAGUUAAGAUUGUUUUUAAUCAAAAACACCUCAGCAGCAAUGUUACCACUGCAAACAUAGCGCUGC